UUGACGGGGCCCGCACAAGCGGUGGAGCAUGUGGUUUAAUUCGACGCAACGCGAAGAACCUUACCAGGGCUUGACAUCCCCUGACCGCGUAUGAAAGUACGUUUUCACCUCGGGUGACAGGGAGACAGGUGGUGCAUGGUUGUCGUCAGCUCGUGUCGUGAGAUGUUGGGUUAAGUCCCGCAACGAGCGCAACCCCUAUUGUUAGUUGCCAUCAUUCAGUUGGGCACCCUAGCGAGACUGCCGGUAAUAAACCGGAGGAAGUGGGGAUGACGUCAAAUCAUCAUGCCCCUUAUGACCUGGGCUACACACGUGCUACAAUGGUUGGUACAACGAGUUGCGAGUCGGUGACGGCGAGCUAAUCUCUUAAAGCCAAUCUCAGUUCGGAUUGUAGGCUGCAACUCGCCUACAUGAAGUCGGAAUCGCUAGUAAUCGCGGAUCAGCACGCCGCGGUGAAUACGUUCCCGGGCCUU
rnacentral:rRNA from 1 species